AUUGAACGCUGGCGGCAUGCUUUACACAUGCAAGUCGAACGGUAACAGGGAGCUUGCUCCGCUGACGAGUGGCGAACGGGUGAGUAAUGCGUCGGAACGUGCCGAGUAGUGGGGGAUAACGCAUCGAAAGGUGUGCUAAUACCGCAUACGUACUGAGGUAGAAAGUGGGGGACCUUCGGGCCUCACGCUAUUCGAGCGGCCGACGUCCGAUUAGCUAGUUGGUGAGGUAAAGGCUCACCAAGGCGACGAUCAGUAGCGGGUCUGAGAGGAUGAUCCGCCACACUGGGACUGAGACACGGCCCAGACUCCUACGGGAGGCAGCAGUGGGGAAUUUUGGACAAUGGGCGCAAGCCUGAUCCAGCCAUGCCGCGUGUCUGAAGAAGGCCUUCGGGUUGUAAAGGACUUUUGUCCGGGAGCAAAUGCCUGGUGUUAAUAGCAUCGGGAGCUGAGAGUACCGGAAGAAUAAGCACCGGCUAACUACGUGCCAGCCGCCGCGGUAA
rnacentral:rRNA from 1 species